rnacentral:rRNA from 1 species
AUUGAACGCUGGCGGCAUGCCUUACACAUGCAAGUCGAACGGCAGCACGGGUGCUUGCACCUGGUGGCGAGUGGCGAACGGGUGAGUAAUAUAUCGGAACGUACCUUAUUGUGGGGGAUAACGCAGCGAAAGCUGUGCUAAUACCGCAUAAUCCCUAAGGGGGAAAGCGGGGGACCGUAAGGCCUCGCGCAAUUAGAGCGGCCGAUACCUGAUUAGCUAGUUGGUGAGGUAAAGGCUCACCAAGGCAACGAUCAGAAGCUGGUCUGAGAGGACGAUCAGCCACACUGGGACUGAGACACGGCCCAGACUCCUACGGGAGGCAGCAGUGGGGAAGUUUGGACAAUGGGGGCAACCCUGAUCCAGCAAUGCCGCGUGAGUGAAGAAGGCCUUCGGGUUGUAAAGCUCUUUUGUCAGGGAAGAAACAGCAGCUCUAACACAGUUUGCGAAUGACGGUACCUGAAGAAUAAGCACCGGCUAACUACGUGCCAGCAGCCGCAGUAA